UACGGAAGGUUCGGGCGUUAUCCGGAUUUAUUGGGUUUAAAGGGAGCGCAGGCCGCAGGUUAAGCGUGUUGUGAAAUGUGGAUGCUCAACAUCUGAAUUGCAGCGCGUACUGGCUUGCUUGAGUACGCACAACGUUGGCGGAAUUCGUCGUGUAGCGGUGAAAUGCUUAGAUAUGACGAAGAACUCCGAUUGCGAAGGCAGCUGACGGGGGCGUUACUGACGCUGAGGCUCGAAAGUGCGGGUAUCGAACAGG
rnacentral:rRNA from 1 species